GAAGCGGUUGUCGACGGUCGUGUUCUGUGCUACGGUGUUACGUACGGUACACCCGAUGCUGCCGUUUUUUGGUUUUGCGAUGGCUGCUGGCUGUUCCCCUUCUUCACUGGCAUCAGAAUCGAUGGCAUGCGAAUACAAAUAAACGAUCGGAUUUGCUGUCUUUUUGGUACAACAAAUCAAAGAUCGUUUCAAGCAAUAACUAUGAAGCAGACAUGAUUCUCGGACCUUCGAAACGAAAUUGAUGGCAUUUAUGCUGGCGUUAAAUCAAACGAUGAAACAAGAAAAACUUGACUGUGGAGAAAAGGACUAAAGUUAUAUAGAUCAGCUGUUGUCCCUAAAUUGUAUUUUGUUAAUUUUUUGUUAGAGUAAGAUUCCUUUCUGAUGCACGAAACUUGGCUGUUUUUUAUCUUUCCAUUUCUUAAUUGCUUUGUUCCUGCAGUGUUUCAAAAGCUAAUUGUGACGAAGAUGUGAUAUGUGGACCUCAAAUGUAUAGAACUGCGUAAUAACUCUAUAACUCUUUGGAGUUUAGAAGAGGAGUCAUUAAUUCUUAAGAAAUUUUUAGAUGAUAUAUAUCUAAACGAGCACCAUGGACCA